UACGGGGGGGGGCAAGCGUUGUUCGGAAUUACUGGGCGUAAAGGGCGCGUAGGCGGCUCGCUAAGUCGGAUGUGAAAACUCUGGGCUCAACCCAGAGCCUGCAUUCGAAACUGACGAGCUCGAGUUCUGGAGGGGGAAAGCGGAAUUCCUGGUGUAGCGGUGGAAAUGACGUAGAUAUCAGGAGGAACACCGGUGGCGAAGGCGGCUUCUGGACAGAAACUGACGCUGAUGCGCGAAAGCUAGGGGAGCAAACAGG
rnacentral:rRNA from 1 species